rnacentral:rRNA from 1 species
UACGUAGGGGGCCGAGCGUUGUCCGGAGUUAUUGGGCGUAAAGCGCGCGCAGGCGGCUUCGCGCGCCCGACGUGAAAGCCCCCGGCUUAACCGGGGAGAGUCGUUGGGGACGGCGGAGCUUGAGGGCGGGAGAGGUCGGUGGAAUUCCCGGUGUAGUGGUGAAAUGCGUAGAGAUCGGGGAGGAACACCUGUGGCGAAGGCGGCCGACUGGGGCCGACCCUGACGCUGAGGCGCGAAGGCGGUGGGGGAGCGAACGGGGAUUAGAAACC